rnacentral:rRNA from 1 species
CCUACGAGUGGCAGCAGUAGGGAAUCUUCCACAAUGGGCGAAAGCCUGAUGGAGCAACGCCGCGUGGGUGAAGAAGGUCUUCGGAUCGUAAAACCCUGUUGUUAGAGAAGAAAGUGCGUGAGAGUAACUGUUCACGUUUCGACGGUAUCUAACCAGAAAGCCACGGCUAACUACGUGCCAGCAGCCGCGGUAAUACGGAGGUGGCAAGCGUUAUCCGGAAUUAUUGGGCGUAAAGGGCACGCAGGCGGUCUUUUAAGUCUGAUGGGAAAACCUUGGGCUUAAACGGGGGAGUUCCUUGGAAACUGGGGAACGUGAGUGCAGGAGAGGGGAGUUGAACGUCAGGGGGAGCGGUGAAAGGCGUAGAUAUAUGGAAGAACACCGGUGGCGAAGGCGG